UUUAGCGGCCGCGAAUUCGCCCUUAGAGUUUGAUCAUGGCUCAGGAUGAACGUUGGCUGUGUGCCUUAGGUAUGCAAGUCGAACGAUCCUUUGAGAUUUCUGAAGCUUCGGCUGAUGAUUUUUCUUUUUGGAUAGUGGCAAACGGGUGAGUAACGCGUAGGUAACCUGCCUUAAAGUUGGGAAUAGCUCAUCGAAAGAUGGGGUAAUACUCGAUGGUCUCCAAUCGCUUCGGCGUUUUGGAGUAAAGUUUCGGCGCUUUAAGAGGGGCCUGCGUCCUAUCAGCUAGUUGGUGAGGUAAAAGCUCACCAAGGCUAAGACGGGUAGCUGGUGUGAGAGCAUGUUCAGCCACCAUGGAACUGAGACACGGUCCAUACUCCUACGGGAGGCAGCAAUUAGGAAUCUUGCGCAAUGGGGGCAACCCUGACGCAGCGACACAGCGUGGAGGAGGAAGGUCUUCGGAUUGUAAACUCCUUUUAUGAGGGACGAAUAGAUGACGGUACCUCAUGAAUAAGUACCUGCUAACUACGUGCCAGAAGCAUCGGUGAUGCGUAGGGUACGAACGUUAUCCGGAGUUAUUGGGCGUAAAGAGAUGCGUAGGCGGCUUAAUAAGUCUUGAGUUAAAGUCCACGGCUCAACCGUGGAAAAGCUCUAGAUACUGUUAGGCUUGAGAUAUAGAGGGGUAAAUGGAAUUCCGAGUGGAGUGGUGAAAUACGUUGAUAUUCGGAAGAACACCAGUGGCGAAGGCGAUUUACUGGCUAUAUUCUGACGCUAAGGCUCGAAAGUAUGGGUAGCAAAACGGAUUAGAUACCCGUGUAGUCCAUACCGUAAACGAUGAAUGCUAGGUGUUUGGUUUGACUGUUUAAUGUCUUCGGAUUUUUAGAUGGAAGAAUUAAGUGCCGCAGUUAACGCGAUAAGCAUUCCGCCUGGGAAGUACGGCCGCAAGGCUAAAACUCAAAUGAAUUGGCGGGGACCCGCACAAGCGGAGGAGCGCGUGGUUUAAUUCGAUGGUAAUCGAAGAACCUUACCAGGGUUUGACAUGUAUCUGCAUGCCCCCAGAGACGGGGGAGGCCUUCGAGGGUGAUACACAGGUGCUGCAUGGCCGUCGUCAGCUCGUGUCGUGAGAUGUAGGGUUAAGUCCCGAAACGAGCGCAACCCCUAUCCUAUGUUACAAGUGUCUUAGGAAACUGCCUCGGUAAAACGGGGAGGAAGGAGGGGAUGAUGUCUGGUCCGCAUAGCCCUUAUGUCCUGGGCUACACACGCGCUACAAUGGUCGGUACAACGGGAAGCCAAGCCGUAAGGUGGAGCUAAUCCUACAAAGCCGAUCUCAGUUCGAAUUGUGGGCUGAAAUUCGCCCACAUGAAGUUGGAUUCGCUAGUAAUCGCAGAUCAGCCAUGCUGCGGUGAAUACGUUCUCGGGUCUUGCACACACCGCCCGUCAAGCCACGGAAGUAGGUGAUACCCGAAGGUGUUCUGCUGCUUGCAGUGGGGCAACUAAGGUAACAUUUAUGACUGGGGCUAAGUCGUAACAAGGUAAAGGGCGAAUUCGUUUAAACCUGCAGGACUAGUCCC
rnacentral:rRNA from 1 species